rnacentral:rRNA from 1 species
UACGUAGGGGGCUAGCGUUGUCCGGAAUCAUUGGGCGUAAAGCGCGUGUAGGCGGUCUGGUAAGUCCGCUGUGAAAGUCGGGGGCUCAACCCUCGAAUGCCGGUGGAUACUGUCGGGCUAGAGUGCGGAAGAGGCGAGUGGAAUUCCUGGUGUAGCGGUGAAAUGCGCAGAUAUCAGGAGGAACACCAAUUGCGAAGGCAGCGCGCUGGGACGUUACUGACGCUGAGACGCGAAAGCGUGGGGAGCAAACAGG